rnacentral:rRNA from 1 species
GGAGCACCUACACAUGCAGUCGAGCGAGAACUUCGGUUCUAGCGGCGGACGGGUUAGUAACGCGUGGGAACGUGCCCUUCACUACGGAAUAGUCCCGGGAAACUGGGUUUAAUACCGUAUACGCCCUUCGGGGGAAAGAAUUUCGGUGAAGGAUCGGCCCGCGUUAGAUUAGAUAGUUGGUGGGGUAACGGCCUACCAAGUCUACGAUCUAUAGCUGGUUUUAGAGGAUGAUCAGCAACACUGGGACUGAGACACGGCCCAGACUCCUACGGGAGGCAGCAGUGGGGAAUCUUAGACAAUGGGCGCAAGCCUGAUCUAGCCAUGCCGCGUGAGUGAUGAAGGCCUUAGGGUCGUAAAGCUCUUUCGCCAGGGAUGAUAAUGACAGUACCUGGUAAAGAAACCCCGGCUAACUCCGUGCCAGCAGCCGCGGUAAUACGGAGGGGGUUAGCGUUGUUCGGAAUUACUGGGCGUAAAGCGCGCGUAGGCGGAUUGGAAAGUUGGGGGUGAAAUCCCAGGGCUCAACCCUGGAACUGCCUCCAAAACUAUCAGUCUAGAGUUCGAGAGAGGUGAGUGGAACUCCGAGUGUAGAGGUGAAAUUCGUAGAUAUUCGGAAGAACACCAGUGGCGAAGGCGGCUCACUGGCUCGAUACUGACGCUGAGGUGCGAAAGUGUGGGGAGCAAACAGGAUUAGAUACCCUGGUAGUCCACAC